AGGUAAUCUAUCUUUGAGAGUAGGACAACAUGCCGAAAGGUGUGCUAAUCCUGCAUAAUAUCUAUUUUUAUAAGAGAUUAGAUCAAAGGGUGGGAUCUUUCGGGACCACUUGCUUGAAGAGGGGCCUAUGUCCUAUUAGUUAGUUGGUAAGGUAAAGGCUUACCAAGGCGAUGAUGGGUAGCCGAGCUGAGAGGCUGAUCGGCCACACUGGAACUGAAACACGGUCCAG
rnacentral:rRNA from 1 species